rnacentral:misc_RNA from 1 species
GAUGAAGAACGUAGCGAAAUGCGAUAAGUAAUGUGAAUUGCAGAAUUCAGUGAAUCAUCGAAUCUUUGAACGCACAUUGCGCCCGCCAGUAUUCUGGCGGGCAUGCCUGUCCGAGCGUCAUUUCAACCAUCAAGCCCCCGGGCUUGUGUUGGGGACCUGCGGCUGCCCGCAGGCCCUGAAAACCAGUGGCGGGCUCGCUGUCACACCGAGCGUAGUAGCAAUCACCUCGCUCAGGGCGUGCUGCGGGUUCCGGCCGUUAAACAGCCUUACACACCCCAAGGUUGACCUCGGAUCAGGUAGGAAGACCAGCUGAACUUAAGCAUAUCAAUAAGCGGAGGA